UAACGAAUAUUGGGCAAUGGGCGAAAGCCUGACCCAGCGACGCCGCGUGUGGGAAGAAGUUCUUCGGAAUGUAAACCACUGUCAGGGGCUACCAAGCGACUAGACCUAACACGUCUAGGAGUUGAGGCGCCCCAGAGGAAGCAACGGCUAACUUCGUGCCAGCAGCCGCGGUAAUACGAAGGUUGCUAGCGUUGUUCGGAAUCACUGGGCUUAAAGCGCAUGUAGGCGGCUCAUCAAGUGUCUUGUGAAAUCCCCUGGCUCAACCAGGGAAUUGCUCGGCAUACUGUUGAGCUUGAGGCAGGUAGGGAUGUGUGGAACUCUUGGUGGAGCGGUGGAAUGCGUAGAUAUCAAGAGGAACGCCGGAGGCGAAAGCGACGCAUUGGGCCUGUCCUGACGCUGAGAUGCGAAAGCCAGGGGAGCAAACG
rnacentral:rRNA from 1 species